rnacentral:rRNA from 1 species
UGGGGAAUAUUGGACAAUGGGCGAAAGCCUGAUCCAGCCAUGCCGCGUGUGUGAAGAAGGUCUUCGGAUUGUAAAGCACUUUAAGUUGGGAGGAAGGGCAGUAAGCGAAUACCUUGCUGUUUUGACGUUACCGACAGAAUAAGCACCGGCUAACUCUGUGCCAGCAGCCGCGGUAAUACAGAGGGUGCAAGCGUUAAUCGGAAUUACUGGGCGUAAAGCGCGCGUAGGUGGUUCGUUAAGUUGAAUGUGAAAGCCACGGGCUCAACCUGGGAACUGCAUCCAAAACUGGCGAGCUAGAGUAGGGCAGAGGGUGGUGGAAUUUCCUGUGUAGCGGUGAAAUGCGUAGAUAUAGGAAGGAACACCAGUGGCGAAGGCGACCACCUGGGCUCAUACUGACACUGAGGUGCGAAAGCGUGGGGAGCAAACAGG